rnacentral:tRNA from 4 species
GGGGAUAUGGCGAAAUUGGUAGACGCUGCGGACUUAAAAUCCGUUGACUUUAGAAAUCGUGAGGGUUCAAGUCCCUCUAUCCCCA